GUGUUGUCUGGAGCUACAAGCAACGAAUCUAAACUUUCACCAACCGGAUCUCUUGGUUCUGGCAUCGAUGAAGAACGCAGCGAAAUGCGAUAAGUAGUGUGAAUUGCAGAGUUCAGUGAAUCAUCGAAUCUUUGAACGCACAUUGCGCCCCUUGGUAUCCCGAGGGGCAUGCCUGUUCGAGCGUCAUUUCACCACUCAAGCCUGGCUUGGUGUUGGGCGACGUCCCCUUUGGGGACGCGCCUCGAAACGCUCGGCGGCGUGGCACCGGCUUUAAGCGUAGCAGAAUCUUUCGCUUUGGAAGUCGGGGCCCCGUUUGCCGGAAGACCUACUCGCAAGGUUGACCUCGGAUCAGGCAGGGAUACCCGCUGAACUUAAGCAUAUCAAUAAGCGGAGGAAAAGAAACCAACAGGGAUUGCCUCAGUAACGGCGAGUGAAGCGGCACAGCUCAAAUUUGAAACUGGCUCUUUUAGGGUCCGAGUUGUAAUGUGAGACUCGGCGUGGCUCGGCUAAGUCGUCC
rnacentral:rRNA from 1 species